AAUUUAAAACUAAAAUUUACAUGAAAACCAAAAUUAAAAAGAGCAAAGGCACAAAGAGGCUCAAAGAAAGAAAAGUUAUCUGAUCCUAAAAGGAAGAAAAAGUAUUGAAAAAGAAAGAUAAUAAAGACGCUACUGAAAAAGUAAACAAACUAUAAAGAAAAUUAAAGAAAAACGUGCCUACUCCUUUAGGGAAAGAGAUUGCCCGUCCCACUCUUAUCAUCUUUCUAAGAGGCACCGACGGUUCCAUUUCUCCCAAAAAAAGCCUGCCAAACUUAUCUCCCUGCAUUAAGACAAUCAUUCAGUCGAAGCAUUCCUGUCUAGAUCUGAUGCUUCGGUAACCCAAGAAACCGGAAAAACCAAGAGUCCUUCAUUCGUCAGUCAGGCUCGCGGAGCCAAUCAUCGGAAAAAGUUGUUGCAGCGGAGUCUGGGACAGAUCCGAUCAGACAAGGGGUCUCCUUCGAUGAUUACUUUUGUUAAUCUGAGAACUAACCCCAUUUUAAGCGCCUCAAGGCAUGCAAGGGCUUCCCCGGUGAAAGCCGGUCCCACAUUGUCGUGCAAGUUUUAGACACUAUUACCACACCUUUUCUAUUUCGAGCAACCAGCCCUGUACCUAAUCUACAUCGUUCCAUGACAAAAGCCGUAUCAAAGUUUACUUUGAUAAAAUCGGUAGGAGGAGGAUUCCAGCUUACUUUAUCACCCUGGACGAUGGCCCAAAGUGAGCAGCAAACAAUCCUUCGUUGAAUGUGCCAACAGACAUUAAAAACUGCAGUAAGGCAAUCCAACCACCCCUAACUAGGUAGGUUUAAUAAAUCAAUGAGGCCUAAGAUUUCCCAAACUUUAUUUGCAACAAGACAAAAGCAGAAGGCAUGACUAUUGUUUUUGCUCCUCCCCCACAAAUGGGACACAGAGUGUCUCGAACCAGCUUCUUCAAGAGUAAGUUUGACAUGGGUAUCAUCUUGUGGUUCAAGUGCCAGCGGGAUCUGAAGGAUUCUUGAUGCAUCAUCCUCAUCAAAGAUGGAAAUAAUAGUAUCCUUUUUCCAUUCUCUAUUAUCAUCAAUAAGCUCAGAAACAAAUUCAAGAUUACAAUUACUAACUGUACCACAUAAUUGAAAAUUAAAAGAGCAUAGUAUCCAUGCAGCAUUAAAAAUA